rnacentral:rRNA from 1 species
GCUUCCAGAGAUGGAUUCCUUCCCUUACGGGACCUACACACAGGUGCUGCAUGGCUGUCGUCAGCUCGUGUCGUGAGAUGUUGGGUUAAGUCCCGCAACGAGCGAAACCCUCAUCCUUAUUUGCCAGCGGUUCGGCCGGGAACUAUAAGGAAACUGCCGGUGAUAAACCGGAGGAAGGUGGGGACGAUGUCAAGUCAUCAUGGCCCUUACGGGUUGGGCUACACGCGUGCUACAAUGGUACUUACAGAGGGAUGCAAUACGGCGACGUGGAGCAAAUCCUCAAAAGGUAUCUCAGUUCGGAUUGUUCUCUGCAACUCGAGAGCAUGAAGUCGGAAUCACUAGUAAUCGCGGAUCAGCAUGCCGCGGUGAAUACGUUCUCGGGCCUUGUACACACUGCCCGUCACGCCAUGGGAGUUGGUUUUACCUGAAGGUGGUGAGCUAACGUAAGAGGCAGCCAACCACGGUAGAAUUAGCGACUGGGGUGAAGUCGUAACAAGGUAGCCGUAGGGGAACCUGCGGCUGGAUUACCUCCUUA